AACACCAUAUCACGGUCUGUAGUUAAAGUGAAAAUUAACCCUCUCUGUAGAACAACUCCAGCUGAAUCACAGAGCAGGGCAUCAUUGUGGCUGAAACUGUAGAGGUGCUUUGCUCUUGGUGUUCUCUGUGCGAUCAAAUGGAAACCUUAUGUUAGCAAGAGCUUAUGACUUCUCUGGACUGAGGAGAGAUGCCCACAGAUCAUACACUGGUAACUAAAUUAUUUUUGCAAAAAUGAUGCCCGUAUCUGAGCUCACAAUCCAUUACCCAAAGUCAGUACUGGAGCUAGUCUUAACUUCAGAGCCAAUGAGGAAGUGCCCUUCAACCAAGGGAAGGAGAAGAGGCCAAUUAUUUAUUCUCCUGGGUAUUUAAAUGAAGAAAUAAUCUACUCAUCCAAGAUUAAUUUCGUGAGGACAUGAUCUUUCCCUUGCAUUGGUAGAGAGAAUCAUUAACAACUGUCUACUGUAAAUGAUGAGUGUCUGAAGUCAAGAUUUAAGAAGAUGAGAUGUUUUUAUUAUUUUAAAAUAAAAAUCAGAACAAAGCUAAAUGAUCUGAGUGCAGGGGUUCCUGCAGAGACUGAUGCACCAACAGAGGACCAUGCAUGGAAAGGACUUAGACCCCCUGCUCAGAUGUGGCCAGUUGGCAGCUCAGUCUCCAUGUGCAUCUCUGAGUGAGGGGAGCAGGGAAUGCCUUGCUCAUGAACUCUGUUAACUGCUCAUUGAUCACUUGCCCCUGGUGUUGUGGCCUUGCUAGGCCAUGGAGGAAGAGGAUCCAAGCUGUCCUAAUGAGAGUUAACAAGCUCUGGGCAGAUGGCAAUGAUGAAGAACACCCCCUUUCAGUGGAUUAGGGGAAGGGGAUGAAGGGAAGAGGGAAGGAUGGUAGGACUGGGAGUAGUUGAGGGAGAGGGCUUCAAUCAGGAUAUAUUGAAUAAAUUGGAGAGAAAAGAAAUCAGGACAUAUUUUUUUUACUUCUGUUCUUAACACAAGAUAUAAAAUGUAUGUGAGAGUAAAAUUUAGAGAAAACAUAGUAGAGAAAUGAAGUAGGAAGCCAAAGAGACGAAGAAGGAGGAGAAGAAGGAGAAGAAGAAGAAGAAGAAGAAGAAGAAGAAGAAGAAGAAGAAGAAGAAGAAGAAGAAGAAGAAGAAGGAAGAAGAAGAAGAAAGGCAGAAAGACACCAAGCUUUCAGAAGAAUGCUGAUUGGGACGUGUUUGGGGAAAUAUGUGUUAAAGACACUAUUGGAAGCCUGGUAUGGUAAUACAUGUGUUUAAUCUUAGCAUAACCUUAGCACUUGGGAGGUUGAGGAAUGAGGAUCAAGUGUUCAAAGGCUUCUUUUGAUAAUGCAUUUGAGGCCACACUAAGCUACGUGAUCUUUUGUCCCAACAUACAUAAAAAGGCAAAUAAAUAAAGAAAAAAAUCCAAUGAAACCAAACUAAGUAUAAGGGAUAUUGAAUUAUCUAGAAGACAUAUGAAAAUGUAGAAUUCAGCACAGAAAUUUUAAUAUAGGUUAUUCUUAAUGAGGUCAUUUAUGUUGUUUCUCUUAAAAUAUCUGGACCUUUUAAUCUAAUGACACAGCUUUUCUCUUCUCUAGUUUCUCCUGUACUUUUUCUUAAUGCUUUGCCAUUUAGAAGUCCAGCCACAAAAGAAAUUUUGAAGCUGUCUGUUUCUAUGUGUGCAAUUUCUCUUUAAAAUUGAAAAUAUUAAUUAAGAAAUCAUUUCCUCCUUU